UGGGGAAUUUUGGACAAUGGGCGAAAGCCUGAUCCAGCAAUGCCGCGUGUGUGAAGAAGGCCUUCGGGUUGUAAAGCACUUUUGUCCGGAAAGAAAUCCUUGGCUCUAAUACAGUCGGGGGAUGACGGUACCGGAAGAAUAAGCACCGGCUAACUACGUGCCAGCAGCCGCGGUAAUACGUAGGGUGCAAGCGUUAAUCGGAAUUACUGGGCGUAAAGCGUGCGCAGGCGGUUUGCUAAGACCGAUGUGAAAUCCCCGGGCUCACCUGGGAACUGCAUUGGUGACUGGCAGGCUAGAGUAUGGCAGAGGGGGGUAGAAUUCCACGUGUAGCAGUGAAAUGCGUAGAGAUGUGGAGGAAUACCGAUGGCGAAGGCAGCCCCCUGGGCCAAUACUGACGCUCAUGCACGAAAGCGUGGGGAGCAAACAGGAUUAGAUACCCUGGUAGUCCACGCCCUAAACGAUGUCAACUAGUUGUUGGGGAUUCAUUUCCUUAGUAACGUAGCUAACGCGUGAAGUUGACCGCCUGGGGAGUACGGUCGCAAGAUUAAAACUUAAAUGAAUUGACGGGGUCAUAGCUGUUUCCU
rnacentral:rRNA from 1 species